rnacentral:rRNA from 1 species
AUUGAACGCUGGCGGCAGGCUUAACACAUGCAAGUCGAGCGAGCGGCGGACGGGUGAGUAAUGUCUGGGAAACUGCCUGAUGGAGGGGGAUAACUACUGGAAACGGUAUCUAAUACCGCAUACCAUCAGAUGUGCCCAGAUGGGCUUCGCUAGUAGGUGGGGUAAUGGCUCACCUAGGCGACGAUCCCUAGCUGGUCUGAGAGGAGGACCAGCCACACAGGAACUGGGACACGGUCCAGCCUCCUACGCGAGGCAGCAGUGGGGAUUAUUGAACAAUGGGCGCAAGCCUGAUGCAGCCAGGCCGCGUGUGUGAAGAAGGCCUUCGGGGUGUAAAGCACUUUCAGCGAGGAGGCGUUACUCGAAGAAGAAGCACCGGCUAACUCCGUGCCAGCAGCCGCGGUAAUAC